AUACGAAGGGGGCUAGCGUUGUUCGGAAUUACUGGGCGUAAAGCGCGCGUAGGCGGAUUGGUCAGUUAGGGGUGAAAUCCCAGGGCUUAACCCUGGAACUGCCUCUAAUACUGCCAGUCUUGAGUUCGGGAGAGGUGAGUGGAAUUCCUAGUGUAGAGGUGAAAUUCGUAGAUAUUAGGAAGAACACCAGUGGCGAAGGCGGCUCACUGGCCCGAUACUGACGCUGAGGCGCGAAAGCGUGGGGAGCAAACAGGAUUAGAAACCCUAGUAGUCC
rnacentral:rRNA from 1 species